GGACGAACGCUGGCGGCGUGCCUAAUACAUGCAAGUCGAACGGUCUUUCUAUGGAAGCUUGCUUCCACUGAGAAGAUAGUGGCGAACGGGUGAGUAACACGUGGGUAACCUGCCCAUAAGAGGGGGGAUAACAUCCGGAAACGGGUGCUAAUACCGCAUAGUUUUCUUGAUCGCAUGAUCGGGAAAGGAAAGACGGCCUUUGUGCUGUCGCUUAUGGAUGGACCCGCGGCGUAUUAGUUAGUUGGUGAGGUAACGACUCACCAAGACGAUGAUACGUAGCCGACCUGAGAGGGUGAUCGGCCACAUUGGGACUGAGACACGGCCCAAACUCCUACGGGAGGCAGCAGUAGGGAAUCUUCCGCAAUGGACGAAAGUCUGACGGAGCAACGCCGCGUGAGUGAAGAAAAGGUUUUCGGAUCGUAAAACUCUGUUGUCAGAGAAGAACAAGUUGGAGAGUAACUGCUCCAGCCUUGACGGUAUCUGACCAGAAAGCCACGGCUAACUACGUGCCAGCAGCGGC
rnacentral:rRNA from 1 species